UACAGCUACAUACCCACCCUCUCGACUGAUGACUGCUGACGAGCACAAAGCUAUCUUGCUUUGUGUCUAGGCUGAGCAGCAAGGCAAGUCAGAAAUACUAGAAGCCUUGAAGCUUUGUCAGAGGGAGCAAAACACAAACAGGCGAGGACAGACAACAAAAGGCACAGAUUCUGGGAACACGCAGCCAAUCAAGUUCCAUAACUGCAUAAUCAGUACUCUGUUUGGACUGUUUGAGCAUGGACUGAUUCGUGGGCCGAGUCCGGGAACAUCGGCAGAGUGAGCAUGGCCUGAGUCCAGGAGCAGGGAGCAGAGUGAGCAUGGGCUGGAGCCGGAGUGGCAGUAGAGUGGACAGGGAGGCCAGUGCUUGGAGACAGAGUUGCCUUGUGUCCUGAAGCUAGCCGGCAUGGGCUCAUGUUGGAAAAGGAUUAGAACCUCAGUCACUUUUCAUUAUCAUUCUGGACUUUUAAACCUCUAUUCCCAUGCUAGCCUAUUUUUUUAAAUUUUGUGACAACACUUAGAAGUAUCUGUAUCUCGGUACUCUGUAUCUAAGUUGGUGCCGUGAGUUGACGUUACAAACUUUUCACUGCAUUCAUUCGAGUGCACGUGACAAUAAAGGCUAUUCUAUCCUA